rnacentral:rRNA from 1 species
UACGUAGGGGGCUAGCGUUGUCCGGAAUCAUUGGGCGUAAAGAGCGUGUAGGCGGCCCGGCAAGUCCGCUGUGAAAGUCGGGGGCUCAACCCUCGGAUGCCGGUGGAUACUGUCGGGCUCGAGUACGGAAGAGGCGAGUGGAAUUCCUGGUGUAGCGGUGAAAUGCGCAGAUAUCAGGAGGAACACCGAUUGCGAAGGCAGCUCGCUGGGACGUUACUGACGCUGAGACGCGAAAGCGUGGGGAGCAAACAGG